GUGACCUCGGAUCAGGUA
rnacentral:rRNA from 5 species